UGGGGAAUUUUGGACAAUGGGCGAAAGCCUGAUCCAGCAAUGCCGCGUGUGUGAAGAAGGCCUUCGGGUUGUAAAGCACUUUUGUCCGGAAAGAAAUCCUCUGGGUUAAUACCUCGGGGGGAUGACGGUACCGGAAGAAUAAGCACCGGCUAACUACGUGCCAGCAGCCGCGGUAAUACGUAGGGUGCAAGCGUUAAUCGGAAUUACUGGGCGUAAAGCGUGCGCAGGCGGUUUUGUAAGACGGAUGUGAAAUCCCCCGGGCUUAACCUGGGAACUGCAUUCGUGACUGCAAGGCUAGAGUAUGGCAGAGGGGGGUAGAAUUCCACGUGUAGCAGUGAAAUGCGUAGAGAUGUGGAGGAAUACCGAUGGCGAAGGCAGCCCCCUGGGCCAAUACUGACGCUCAUGCACGAAAGCGUGGGGAGCAAACAGGAUUAGAUACCCUGGUAGUCCACGCCCUAAACGAUGUUAACUAGUUGUUGGGGAUUCAUUUCCUUACUAACGUGGCUAACGCGUGAAGUUGACCGCCUGGGGAGUACGGUCGCAAGAUUAAAACUCAAAUGAAUUGACGGGGUCAUAGCUGUUUCCU
rnacentral:rRNA from 1 species